rnacentral:lncRNA from 1 species
UGGCCAGUGUUAAGGUAGGGAAGAGAGAGGAGAGCUAAGGCAUUAACACAGUUCUUAUUUGAACUAGUAACUUCGUACCCUAGUUUGAUGUUUUUGGGCACCAAGGAAGGUUCCUGCUGAAACCUCACCUCCAGAACUUCACUACGCCUGACUCCUGCCUGCUUUCAUGGGAAGCCAAUGAUAAAAUCCCAGAUUCCUUGGGCUGAAAUUGCUAUACCCUUUAGACCGCCCCCUUGAUGAUCUAACAGUGACUUUGUCUCUUAUAUAGGCUAUUGCUCAUUCUUGAGAAACACUGAGGCAUUUUACCCAACAAACCCUGGAAGAUAGGCCUAUCGCAUUGCUGAAAUCAUCUAUGUCCACCUUUCUAGUGCACUGUAGAUCUCUAUGUGAGAGUCGUAAUCUGCUCAGCAUCAGCACUCCAGCUUCCUCAGGUGUGAGGCAGUCAGUAGUCUUCUAUGUAUCCCAACUACAGGUUAUAUAAUUCAGUGUUAUUUAGGAACCCACUUUGAAGUUCAUUAAUGACUAGGGUUAGAAGACAGCAUUUUUUUCUCCAAAGCUUUGGUAAGGUUGAGUGAGGAAAAUAUGGGUCUCUAACGAGACCUACCCCUUUCCCCCAAAUAUGUCACUUAAUCAAUUGUCCCUUGCUCUGCUAUUUUAAAUAUUUUACAUUCUUAGAAUUGAGAAGAAAUUCAAGAAUUAUAGACAAAAUUUUUUUCUCUUCCAGUGGACUGGAAAUUUUGCCGACAUCAGGGUUUCUGAUUUAUUCUCACUUAAGUAUCCUGAUAUCUAUUUAUUUAUUUAUUUAUUUACUUAUUUAUUUUGGUUUCUCAGUAGAAGUUUAAUCUGAAAGAAUCCCUUUCUAAGGGAUUCAUAAACAAUCAAAGAUAUUACUUCUAUUCUAAGAAAAAUCCCAAUUCCAUCAUGUUUCCCAUUGGCUUUAGUACUACCACUUAAUACUUUGUUGAGGAUGCUGAGAAUUGAGAAUUAUGUUGUUGAAUUAAAAUGUUAUUUUCUCAUAGCAUCAGACGAUGGAAUUCAGAAACACUUGAUGCUUAAUUCAACUCAAAUAGUCCUCUCCCUGGCAAGAUCAAUGAAAAGAAAGUUACAUAAUAAAGGCUCAAAAAGACCACAUCAGACUGCAUUAAGGUUUUAGAGAUUGUGGUCACAAAUAGAAGUAUGGAACUCUAUACCAGAGAAAUAAGAAAAACUAGCCCAGUAUGCAAACUUGAGUCUCAGGCUUUACAAUAUAUGUUGAAAGAAAAGUCAAACUUUCUGGGACCAACAGAAGAGGUGCUAGAGGAUUGGGUAAUACAGUUUAGGCCAAAUUAUUUCAAUGAGUUUUCAUACCUGAAAAAAAAUUUUUCCAAAGAGUAUUUUAGAAUCUGAACAAUAGUAUUAGCAUGACUGUUUUUUUGCAGAAUAGAAUACAAGGAUGAGAGGGGGAAAAGGACUUUGUUUUCUCAGAGGUCAAGCAACCCCUCAAUUUGCGGUAAACUAUUUUCUGUAGCAAAAAAGAGAUCUUGUGAUCUUAGAUAUUUUUCCACAUCAACAAGAGUAUGUUUAUCACGUAUAUGUCACUAAAAUACAAACAAAAUAUAUAUCACUUCACCAUACACUAAACGAAUCAUUUUUUGAGGACAAGAAAAAAAGCCAAAUAAAUUGGGGUUAUCUAAGAAGAAUAUAAGGAAUUGCUAUUUAUAUUUAGACUGAUAGACUGUCCCAUGUUCAAAAGAACAUUACUCUAGUUUAUCCAAGCUGCUAAAACAAAAACAUACAGACUGCAUGGUUUGUAAACAACAGAAAUGUAUUUCUCAUAAUUCUGGAGGCUGCAAAGUCUAAGUUAAAGAUGCUGGUAUAUUCAUUGUCUGCUUAGGACCACCUUCUUGUUCACAGAUAAACAACUAUUUGCUAUAUCCUCAUAUGGAUAUAGGGAUGAGGGAUCUCUCUCUAGGGCCUCUUUUAUAAGAGCUCACCCUCAUGACUUAAUCAUCUCAAGUACCAUCACACUGGGGAUCAGGUUUCAGUACAAGAGUUAGAGGAUAGGGUGGCACAAACAUCCAGACCAUAGCAUAUAUACAAGGGGAAUUAAGUGCAAAUUUAAUGUCACCUUAAUAUAAAUGUAAUUUCUUAUAUGAGCUUGAGAUCCCAUAUAAAAUAAGGAACUCAUAAUUCCUAAUGAGUAUAUAGGCUUGGCCCUUUAGUGGCAUGGUAACUGAAAAAUAAAGUAUUACCUGUGUGGAAUUCCCAGGUGGCUCAGUGGAUUAAGGAUCCAGCAUUGUCACUGUUGUUCCAGUCACUGCUGUGGCAGGGGUUUGAUCCUUGACCUGAGAACUUUUGCAUGUCAUCGGUGCAGGAAAAGAAAGAAAGAGAGAGAGAGAAAGAAAGGAAGGAAAGAAGUGUAACAGAGAAGAACAAAUCUGACUCCUUAUUGGAUUUUUUCCUUUACUCUAACCCUGGUAUUCUGGUGCCUCUGCUUAGUCAUGAUGGCUUUGCACCCGUGUAGAAUAAUGUUGCCUAUAGCCUAAAAUAUAUAUGAUAGAAUAGCCCAUUCUGACAUGUUUUUGUUUUAUUCAUUUUGCUUUUUUAGGGCUGCACCUGCAGGAUAUGGCAGUUCCUGUGUUAGUUGAAUCUGAGCUACAGCUGCCGGCCUAUGCCACAGCCACAGAAAUGCUGGAUCUGAGCCAUGUCUGUGACCUACUUAACAGCUCACGGCAAUGCUGGAUUCUUAACUCACUGAACAAGGUUAGGGAUCAAACCUACAUCUUCAUGGAUACGAGUCGGAUUCUUAACCCCCUGAGCUACAAGGGGAACUCCAGCCAAAACUCUGAUUUUUAAAGGAAUAACUCUUUUUCAUUCAGAGAUAAAAAGUUGCAGAACAGAAAAUAACCAUUGUCUUGUUGGAGAUUUAUAGGAAAAUUGUGCCCAGACCUAUGCGGAGAGCUAGAAGAAUAAAAGAGUCCUGCACCAAAACAUUUUGCAACAAUAGCCACGCCCCCUCCCUUUUUAGUAUAAAAGAAGCCUGAAUUCUAACUUGGGUAAGAUGGUUCUUUGGGACACUAGUCUGCCAUCCUCUUAGUCUGCUGGCUUUCUGAAUAAAGUCAUUAUUCCUUGUCCCAACACCUCAACUCUCCAUCUAUUGGUCUGUCAUGCAGUGAUCAGUGGACUUGGUAACACUUGUGCAUCAAAGAACAAGUGAGUAUUAACAUUCUGACACUUUUACUUACCAAGGUUAUCUGUACUGAAACAGGAUUCUCUUUCUCUCGCUCUGGUUUGUUUCAUUUUAUAUGUGAGCUAAAAUACCCAUGCUGUUACUUGCUUCUUCACUGGAACUAAGAACAAAUACAUACAUAUUACCCUAGUUUAUAUAAAUCACUUGAUUCCUGUUUACUCUGAAAUCCAUUUUUAAAUUGGCUUCUUGAUUUUUUUUUAAUUCCAAGUUUAUUGAUCUGUAUUUUCCUCUUAAUAUCAUUUAUCUUCUGGUUGCUUGCCUUCUUGACAUGCAUAUAAAGGCAACCAUUCCUAACCUUCUCUGGAGCAUUUUAACACACAAUUGUCUUUCUAAAUCAAUGACUUCAACUAUCUUCAAAUCUCCUUAGAAAAUCCAUUUUACUUCUAUUAACUUUGUACUUUCUUUAGUGUAUUAAAGAAUCUUGGAAAUAGCUGAUCAAACAUAAUUUCCUAACAGCUGUAUUGUGAAUUUAUUAAUGAACAACUCAGAGUGAGAAUAGAGUUCUAUCAAUUUAUGGUAGAGUUAUUAUUAUUACAUAGAGGAAACUUAAAUGACAAGAUUGAGAAGCAAAAUAAUUAUAAGCAUUUUAGGAUAUUAUUAGACUUAAUUUUCUUUUUUUAAAUCAUAUGCAAGUUCAGUAUGUAAACUGAUGAUGGAAAGGGUUUCUUAGCUCUUUAUUAUGCUAUAAAAAUGUGAGACAAUAAAGCAGAGUGGAAAAGUAUAGAAUUUGGCAUCUCAUGGAUUUGCCUCUAACCCAUAGAAGUUGUGUGGUUUCAAAUAGGUAACCAAUAUUGCUAAGCCUCUACUACUUCAUUUGCAGGAUAAGAAAAAUGAUAUAUACCUUGAAAGUUUUUUUACAGUGUUUGCAUAUAAGAAGUAUGACCUAGUGCCCUCCUGGGUAUUUAUUGUAUUGAAUUGAAUUUUAUUAGUUAACUGAUAUAGAGAAAUAAAAGGCAUUAGUGAAACAGGAUUCUUCAAGUGGUCACUUAUUUUUUAAAAUCUACUUUAUUGGUAUAUAAUUUAUAUACAAUAAAAUAUCACUAUUUUCAGUAUAAAUGUUUGAUAAGUUUACCAGACAUAUACAUCCCUGUGAUCAUGGCCUCAGUAGUUCUCUUCUGACCCUUCAUAAUCAAUUGCCUUGAAAUCUCUGCCCCAGGUAACCAAUUGAUUGGACUUUUAGUGCUAUAUGUGAGUUACGUUUGUUCUAGAACUUCAUGUAAAUAGAAUCAUAUGUUUCACUGUCUUCUCUCCCCGGCUUCAUUUGCUCAGUACACAAGUUUUGAAAUUCUUCCAUGUUGUUGCACAUAAGUCAAUUGUUUCAUGUCUUUUUGAGUAACAUUUCAUUGUGAGGCUAUACCAUAUUUGCUCAACCACUGAUGGACGUUUGCUUCACAGUUGACUAAUAAUCUCUGGCUGUCACACCUUUGUACCUGCUGCAGUGUCAGUCAUGUCAAUAUCACACUUCACCUAUGCUGAAAUGCAGGACUUUCGCCCAUACUACUAAAAGAGAGUUAAAAGAAAUUCCAGGUGUGGCACAGUGGGAUCCUGCUGUUUCUGUAGUGCUGGGACAUUGGUUUAAUGGCUGACCCAGCACAGUGAGUUAAGGAUCCAUCCAAGAAAUGAUCACCAGAAGGAACAGGACCAGGUCCAGGUCCUAUACCUGGGGGUCUGGCAACACAGAGAUGCCAGUGCAUUCAUUCUGCUCACUCAGCUGCAGGUGAAGCAUAGGAAGCAACUGCGGCUAGAAUCUGAUCCCUGGUCUGGGAACUCCUUAACUCCAUAUGCCAAGGGGUGGCCAAAAAAGAAAAAAAAAAAA